rnacentral:pre_miRNA from 1 species
UUGAAGGAUUUGAAGACUUCAACUUGCAGGCUUAAAGAAUUUGAAGACUUCAACUUGCAAACUUGAAGAAUGAAAAUUAUGCAACA